AUUGAACGCUGGCGGCAGGCUUAACACAUGCAAGUCGAGCGAGCGGCGGACGGGUGAGUAAUGUCUGGGAAACUGCCUGAUGGAGGGGGAUAACUACUGGAAACGGUAGCUAAUACCGCAUACCAUCAGAUGUGCCCAGAUGGGCUUAGCUAGGAGGUGGGGUAAUGGGUCACCUAGGCGACGAUCGCUAGCUGAUCUGAGAGGAUGACCGGCCGCACUGGAGCUGGGACACGGUCCAGACUCCUACGGGAGGCAGCAGAGGGGAAUAUUGCACAAUGGUCGCAAGCCUGGUGCAGCCAGGCCGCGUGUGUGACGAAGGCCUUCGGGUUGUAAAGCACUUUCAGCGAGGAGGCGUUACUCGCAGAAGAAGCACCGGCUAACUCCGUGCCAGCAGCCGCGGUAAUAC
rnacentral:rRNA from 1 species